GGUGAGGUGUCCGAGUGGCUGAAGGAGCACGCCUGGAAAGUGUGUAUACGGCAACGUAGGGGGGUUCGAAUCCCCCCCUCACCGCCA
rnacentral:tRNA from 1 species